CAGCACGGACUUCGGUCUGGUGGCGAGUGGCGAACGGGUGAGUAAUGCAUCGGAACGUGCCAUUGAGUGGGGGAUAACGUAGCGAAAGUUGCGCUAAUACCGCAUAUUCUGUGAGCAGGAAAGCAGGGGACCGCAAGGCCUUGCGCUCUUUGAGCGGCCGAUGUCAGAUUAGCUAGUUGGUGAGGUAAAGGCUUACCAAGGCGACGAUCUGUAGCGGGUCUGAGAGGAUGAUCCGCCACACUGGAACUGAGACACGGUCCAGACUCCUACGGGAGGCAGCAGUGGGGAAUUUUGGACAAUGGGGGCAACCCUGAUCCAGCCAUGCCGCGUGAGUGAAGAAGGCCUUCGGGUUGUAAAGCUCUUUCGGCCGGGAAGAAUCGCAUGGCCCA
rnacentral:rRNA from 1 species